rnacentral:rRNA from 1 species
UACGAAGGGGGCUAGCGUUGCUCGGAUUUACUGGGCGUAAAGGGCGCGUAGGCGGACAGUUAAGUUAGGGGUGAAAGCCCGGGGCUCAACCUCGGAAUUGCCUUCAAUACUGGCUGUCUUGAGUGUGAGAGAGGUGUGUGGAACUCCGAGUGUAGAGGUGAAAUUCGUAGAUAUUCGGAAGAACACCAGUGGCGAAGGCGACACACUGGCUCACUACUGACGCUGAGGCGCGAAAGCGUGGGGAGCAAACAGG